rnacentral:rRNA from 1 species
CCUACGGGAGGCAGCAGUGGGGAAUAUUGGACAAUGGGCGCAAGCCUGAUCCAGCAAUGCCGCGUGAGUGAUGAAGGCCUUAGGGUCGUAAAGCUCUUUUACCAGGGAUGAUAAUGACAGUACCUGGAGAAUAAGCUCCGGCUAACUCCGUGCCAGCAGCCGCGGUAAUACGGAGGGAGCUAGCGUUGUUCGGAAUUACUGGGCGUAAAGCGUACGUAGGCGGUUAUUCAAGUCAGAGGUGAAAGCCCGGGGCUCAACCCCGGAACGGCCUUUGAAACUAGGUAGCUAGAAUCUUGGAGAGGUCAGUGGAAUUCCGAGUGUAGAGGUGAAAUUCGUAGAUAUUCGGAAGAACACCAGUGGCGAAGGCGACUGACUGGACAAGUAUUGACGCUGAGGUACGAAAGCGUGGGGAGCAAACAGGAUUAGAUACCCUGGUAGUCCACGCCGUAAACGAUGAUAACUAGCUGUUCGGGCACUUGGUGCUUGAGUGGCGCAGCUACGCAUUAAGUUAUCCGUCCGUCGGGUAGGUACGGUCGCGAAGAAUUAAACUAACAAAGAAGUUAGUACGGCGUGAGACGUCGCCGAACGGACGACGACGAGGGAGGUAGG